rnacentral:rRNA from 1 species
GCGCGGUCCCAGGGACGCAUCGCUGGCUACAGGAGGAGGAGUGUCUGUGUACGCCUUCGGGUUGUAAAGCUCUUUAAGCGGGGAGGAAGGUUGUUAGUUAAUCCUUGGUCCCUUGACCGUACCUGAAGAAUAAGCCCCGGCUAACUUCGUGCCAGCAGCCGCGGUAAUAAUU